rnacentral:lncRNA from 10 species
AUGGCGUACGUGAAGGCAGCCUCACGGCUCCCUGCGGGGACAGACAGGUGCAGAAGCGCCUGGUCCAUGUGGACACCGAGCAGGCUCAACCAUGCCAGCUGGAGGACCAAGAGCCAAACUCCAGUGAGUGGGAACCUCCCUGCCCAUCUCAGCAACAGGAAGAACAGGGACAGUGCUCAGCCCAGGAGAGGGCAGCUGGAGACUCACACUGCUGGCAUGGUGCAGUCCCCUGCCCAGCACCCGCGAGCACCUGCACAGCCCUCAGUUGCCCACUGCUGUGCCUGUUAUUGGGGCUGAGGUGACAGCCCGCAGAUAGAGAGGAAGGCUGCAGAGCGGGUCAGGGGAUGCCACUGUCCUGAAGUCCCUGAGCAGGCUGGCAGAUCCACGGCUGGGUUUGCACCCUUGGAGGACACUUCCCACAAGCCUCCCUUCCAGCCUCCCGCAAGCGCCUGCUCUCACCUGGCUAUGCCUGCCCCAGGCUCAGACUCAGUUACUCACCGGUUACUCAUCGCCUGCCGCUCCUGCUAAUUCCUUUUUUAUUUGCUUUUAAUGAGCCAAACCCUCUGGUCUCUCGUCAUGGAGACAAGGGGGAGGUGAGCUGCAGAGAGUCAUAGUUUUGGCACAAUCAGUAAGAACGACCUUAGGUCCGGCGAGAGUCGCUGCCGUGGACUGUGGGCUCCCGUGCGCCCGGCACGUUGCCUGUGUUGUCUGGUUUAAUUCUCACAACAGCCCACGGGGGAGGGCCCGUUACCCCAUGUUACAGACCUAGACGCCCACUCCGAGGGCUUUGUCAUGGUGUGCCUAGGUGUGUAGUGGGAAGGGCAGAAGGGCUGCAGGCUUCCCCCGUGUCCCUCCCCAAGUCCCUCCUGGGGCCGUGACUGGGCACCUUGCCAGUCCGCCCACACGCCAUCCUUCCUCCAGGCUGACAGCGAGCCAGUGCUUAGACUUAGAAGCCGGUCCUCUGCAGUGGGUGCAGACAGCCUGGACCCAUGUGCCUUGCUCAGCAGCUGUCAGUGGCCCCCAAGGCCUCUGAGACGACUUCCAGUGCCUUGGCCUGGCCCCCAAGGCCCCAGAGGCCUGACCCCACCGCUCCUCGCCCACCACUGCCUGCAGCCCAGCGUGGCCUGCCUGCAGGUUGGGCAGCCACCUCUGGUGCACAGUAACUACUCCUGAAUAAAGGACCUGCUGGCUUCCUGCCGCCUGCCCUGGGGGACAGCAGCCCCCUCCCUUCCUGGAAUACCUGCCCACCCUCCCACAUAUCCACACACUCCUCAGGCUCUGGACGCAGGGAGGGAGGCUCCCUCCUCCCCGAAUGCCCUCUGUAGUGGGCACACCCUCCCCUGGGCUCUCACUGGGUGCCCCUCAGGCUGCAGGCAGGAUCCACAUCUGAUUCUUUUCUGUACCUCCCACCCAUCGCUGUUUCCCAAAUCCCAUGCAUGAGCAGGUCUGGACUGGGCACCUCCCCCACACCACCUUAUCUCCAAGACAG